GUCUCUCUCUUAAAGAUGAUGGACUGAAAAGGUAAGACAAGAUGAUCUAAAACUUGAUUAAACACACACACACACACACAUCUAUUGACUUUGAAGGGAAAGGCAUUAUUGAUGCAAACAAAAGCAUCAUCGGUACCUGACAAUGAACUGCGAAGAAAUAUUUCAAUUGAACUGUACACUUAUAUUCUCCUUUAUUUCGUAAUUUAUACAUAUUUUCUUCUUUUCUGAACAAGAAGAAAGUCAGAAAUUUGAAGAACUUAUAGGAUCAAUUUGUCUUUAGACUCUAGAGAACAAGGUUGCUUCACUGCUUCUUGCAGAACUUGUUGAUAACUUGAGAUGGAGACUGGAUGUGGGAGAAUUUUCACUAAUUUCUUGUGGCACAUACUAUUAGAGAGAAGACGAGCCUACCAAGCAGGAAGGGAUAGCAGAGUAUGACAAAUAGUGGUUGCUUCUACUUGGACAUAUUGCAAUUGUUACAUGAAUCAUGAAUCAUGAAGAUUGAACGGAGGUAACCUCUGAGCAUAACAAAACUAAGGGUAACACAUGGUUUUUAUCCAAAGAUUAGGCGUCACGGGUUAUACUUACUGUUAAGAUCCCCCGCAAGAAGAAAACAAGCAUGCAAGCUAUGGACAAGUUUAAGGCAAUCAAC
rnacentral:lncRNA from 1 species